rnacentral:rRNA from 1 species
AGACCCGAAACCCGGUGAUCUAGCCAUGGGCAGGUUGAAGGUUGGGUAACACUAACUGGAGGACCGAACCGACUAAUGUUGAAAAAUUAGCGGAUGACCUGUGGCUGGGGGUGAAAGGCCAAUCAAACCGGGAGAUAGCUGGUUCUCCCCGAAAGCUAUUUAGGUAGCGCCUCGUGAAUUCAUCUCCGGGGGUAGAGCACUGUUUCGGCCAGGGGGCCAUCCCGGCUUACCAAUCCGAUGCAAACUGCGAAUACCGGAGAAUGUUAUCACGGGAGACACACGGCGGGUGCUAACGUCCGUCGUGAAGAGGGAAACAACCCAGACCGCCAGCUAAGGUCCCAAAGUCAUGGUUAAGUGGGAAACGAUGUGGGAAGGCCCAGACAGCCAGGAUGUUGGCUUAGAAGCAGCCAUCAUUUAAAGAAAGCGUAAUAGCUCACUGGUCGAGUCGGCCUGCGCGGAAGAUGUAACGGGGCUAAACCAUGCACCGAAGCUGCGGCAGCGAACGUAUCACCCAAGACAACUUUACACAGUUGACGCCUGACGGAGCGAAGCGACGUCAAAGCGUUUUACAACGUCGAGUUGGCUUAGGGAUACGUUCGUUGGGUAGGGGAGCGUUCUGUAAGCCGUUGAAGGUGUGUCG